rnacentral:rRNA from 1 species
UCAGAACGAACGCUGGCGGCGUGGAUAAGACAUGCAAGUCGAACGAGAGAAUUGCUAGCUUGCUAAUAAUUCUCUAGUGGCGCACGGGUGAGUAACACGUGAGUAACCUGCCCCCGAGAGCGGGAUAGCCCUGGGAAACUGGGAUUAAUACCGCAUAGUAUCGAAAGAUUAAAGCAGCAAUGCGCUUGGGGAUGGGCUCGCGGCCUAUUAGUUAGUUGGUGAGGUAACGGCUCACCAAGGCGAUGACGGGUAGCCGGUCUGAGAGGAUGUCCGGCCACACUGGAACUGAGACACGGUCCAGACACCUACGGGUGGCAGCAGUCGAGAAUCAUUCACAAUGGGGGAAACCCUGAUGGUGCGACGCCGCGUGGGGGAAUGAAGGUCUUCGGAUUGUAAACCCCUGUCAUGUGGGAGCAAAUUAAAAAGAUAGUACCACAAGAGGAAGAGACGGCUAACUCUGUGCCAGCAGCCGCGGUAAUACAGAGGUCUCAAGCGUUGUUCGGAAUCACUGGGCGUAAAGCGUGCGUAGGCUGUUUCGUAAGUCGUGUGUGAAAGGCGCGGGCUCAACCCGCGGACGGCACAUGAUACUGCGAGACUAGAGUAAUGGAGGGGGAA